GACGAACGCUGGCGGCGUGCUUAACACAUGCAAGUCGAACGGAAAGGCCCUGCUUUUGUUGGGUGCUCGAUUGGCGAACGGGUGAGUAACACGUGAGUAACCUGCCCUUUACUUUGGGAUAACUUCAGGAAACUUGGGCUAAUACCGGAUAGGAGCUCCUGCUGCAUGGUGGGGGUUGGAAAGUUUCGGCGGUUGGGGAUGGACUCGCGGCUUAUCAGCUUGUUGGUGGGGUAGUGGCUUACCAAGGCUUUGACGGGUAGCCGGCCUGAGAGGGUGACCGGCAACAUUGGGACUGAGAUACGGCACAGACUCCAACGGGAGGCAGCAGUGGGGAAUAGUGCAGAAUGGGAGGAAGCCUGAUGCAGCAACGCCGCGUGCGGGAUGACGGCCUUCGGGUUGUAAACAGCUUUAGCCUGUGACGAAGAGUGAGUGACGGUAAUGGGUAAAGAAGCACCGGCUAACUACGUG
rnacentral:rRNA from 1 species